GCCCAGAUGGUGAAAUCGGUAGACACAAGGGAUUUAAAAUCCCUCGCCUUCGGGUGUGCGGGUUCAAGUCCCGCUCUGGGCACCA
rnacentral:tRNA from 3 species